UCGCAUAACACAAUGACUGUCACUAUGCUUUUCUACCGGAGAAAGAUGCACACAUUUGAGUAUUUCUGUUAGCCAUCUUGGUAAACAAAUGUUUGUUGUUUCCUUUGUUUAUUUCCAUUGGCAAAACAUUGCUUAUCAAUGAUUGGAACUAUGCUUCCAGCAGUAUCACUUGCCAUGAUGAGCUACACCAUUGAUUCUUAUUUUGUGUACUUGUCAAGGCUGCUAUCUCAUUUUGUCACUUCCCUUUUGUAGUCUUUUGUAUGCCUUGCUUUCGGUACUAUACUCUCCAGCUGCCUUUUGUAGUGUGCUACUUGGUUUUCGGUCCCUUUCUUUGUCAAUGACUUGCCCUAAUUAUUACCAAUGAUAUUUAGACUUGUGGGAUGUGUUGCUUUGUAUAUGAACAACUUGUUGUAAUCCCGAUCCUGUAUCAUUCCUUUUUACUCGUAUAGGUUUUGUUUUCUACAACCUCUGUUUGCAUUACAACUUCGAAGUAGAUAGGAUGUGGUAUGAUUACAAUUACGAUUUAGCACUGAUUGCGUGGGUAUGGCAAAGGCGACAACAAUUUUUAGUAUCACCCUUUUUUGAUUUUUAUGUCAUGUUGAUUACAUCCGGUCAUUGCAUUCACUGGGAGGAGACAUUGCGCUAUGCAUGACACCCAGUCUGGCCAGCCUUUGCAACUGUCAGCAACCUAUUUGUUCUUCUCCUUAGCCAGACCCGAUUCUUCGACUGGUUUAACUUGCAUAGUAGUUCUGUUUAGAUUACAGUUUUAGAUUCCUCCACUCUUUGCUAUGAUUAGGUUAAUUUCUAACAAAUGGGAUGAUGAUCUGGAUGAAUACUAUUUCGGUAUUGCUACCAUUAUGGUUCCACUCAUGAAUAAUUGAAAAUAACUGGAUGAUCCAUCGCAAGCAAUCGUUCUAAUUCCUAUUUGGCAACCUUGAAUAGCCCGAUGUGUUUCGAUUUGGUAGGCUUGGUUCCCUCCCUAAUUGUGUGCAUCAUCAUGGUGUUUGCUUGUUGUUCUAAAGUUUCAACUGCAUGGCUACUAUUGGGUUGGCUUCUUAUAAGUUAUGGGAGAGAGUGAGAGUGUGGGCUUGGUCACGGAGAUCUCUUUUAUUUAUUUGCUGGUACCUGAUAGUUUUUCAUGUUCCCUUGUGAGAUCUUAGUGAAAAUAAUGAUUUUAUUUGCUGUGCGGGCGGGCGGGUGCAGAGAAGAAGAACCUCAACUCGGAGCUCUUGUUUCUUCUCAGUAUAUAUGUACAGAUUAUAAAUAUAAUAAAUAUAUGUGUCCUUUUUUCCUCUUUCUCUCCUCUGGUUUUACCGCCGAACUGGGUGGCCUUGAUGAAUGAUGUUGGCUUAUUUUAGAGAAAAUCUUUCUAAAUAAAUACUUGAUAAAUGAUGUUGGUUUAUUUUAGAGAGAAUCUUUCUAAGUGAAUAUACACUGAAAAGAGGUUUCAAUUUCUUAAUAGUACAUGUUCAAAUUGUUGUUGUAUGUGACCUUAGAUAGAAGGAUGUGCACUUGUGAUUAUCCCUUUCCCUUUUUGUAUCAGAGCUUUGUGCUAAAAAACUGCUUUGGUGCCGAGACAAUUACCUUGCAAUAUUAAUCUUGGCUGAAAUUGUGCACCUUUACUAGAUCAAUCAUGUUUGUCAGUGUUAAAUAAUUAGGCACAUAAUAAGAUGAGAUCAUAGUGUAAUCAAGUUUUGUGCCUAAAGAAAAUCUUGGAGGAUAUCUAUGUAUAGUAGGCUUAUUAUGUUUUCUGGGUGCCUUGUGGAAUACUAAGAUAAAAUAAAUUUAAUUUCAUUUUUAUAUUCUUUUAUGUUAAAGAGGCUACUUUGUAUCCAGAUCACUUAAUAUUAUCCAAAGUGAUUCUCUUUCAUACAGACCAAAUUAGUUCCUCGCUGUCCAUGAGACGCACUAUUUGAAUAGUUUGCCUAACAUGACAUGUCCUUUAGCAGAUCCAUGCGUUGAAACAUGCAAGCAAAUCAAAUGAAGGAGUGUGGACAAAGUUAUAUAUCAAGCAAAUCGGAUGAAGGCGUGUGGACAAAGUUAUAUAUCUAACAGUCAACCAUGUAGUUUACUAUUAUGCAGUAUGAAAAACAGUGUAAACAAGUUAUCUGAGACUAAUACUGCUAUGGCCUGCUUUUGGUUUCUAUCAUACCAAAACCUUGCUUAGGUAUUUCAUGUCACAUUUUAUAACAAAUGCGCUGAUGGCAUGUAGAUAGGGCCAUUUUUAGAUAUUUUACAUGGUGAUUACUGUUGUGAGUAUCUACCAACACCUACUCUUUGAGUAAUAUCAGAUAUAUUUCUAUCCUGAGAUAUAGAGUAAUAUCAGAUGUUAAUCGGAAAAGAGUUAUAUCAGAGGUUUGAUCAUUGAACUUUUUUUAUUCCAUCCUGAUUAAGUUGUC
rnacentral:lncRNA from 1 species